AUGAACGCUGGCGGCGUGCCUAAUACAUGCAAGUCGAGCGAACAGACGAGGAGCUUGCUCCUCUGACGUUAGCGGCGGACGGGUGAGUAACACGUGGAUAACCUACCUAUAAGACUGGGAUAACUUCGGGAAACCGGAGCUAAUACCGCAUAAUAUAUUGAACCGCAUGGUUCAAUAGUGAAAGACGGUUUUGCUGUCACUUAUAGAUGGAUCCGCGCCGCAUUAGCUAGUUGGUAAGGUAACGGCUUACCAAGGCGACGAUGCGUAGCCGACCUGAGAGGGUGAUCGGCCACACUGGAACUGAGACACGGUCCAGACUCCUACGGGAGGCAGCAGUAGGGAAUCUUCCGCAAUGGGCGAAAGCUUGACGGAGCAACGCCGCGUGAGUGAUGAAGGUCUUCGGAUCGUAAAACUCUGUUAUUAGGGAAGAACAAAUGUGUAAGUAACUAUGCACGUCUUGACGGUACCUAAUCAGAAAGCCACGGCUAACUACGUG
rnacentral:rRNA from 1 species